UAGGGGAAUCUUCCACAAUGGACGAAAGUCUGAUGGAGCAACGCCGCGUGAGUGAAGAAGGGUUUCGGCUCGUAAAACUCUGUUGUUAAAGAGAACAUAUCUGAGAGUAACUGUUCAGGUAUUGACGGUAUUUAACCAGAAAGCCACGGCUAACUACGUGCCAC
rnacentral:rRNA from 1 species